CCUACGGGUGGCAGCAGUGGGGAAUAUUGCACAAUGGGGGAAACCCUGAUGCAGCGACGCCGCGUGAAGGAAGAAGUAUUUCGGUAUGUAAACUUCUAUCAGCAGGGAAGCAAAUGACGGUACCUGACUAAGAAGCACCGGCUAACGACGUGCCAGCAGCCGCGGUAAUACGUAGGGGGCAAGCGUUAUCCGGAUUUACUGGGUGGAAAGGGAGCGUUGGCGGUAAUGCAAGUCAGAAGUGAAAGCCAGGGGUUCAACGCCCGGACUGCAUUUGAAAUUGUGGUGCGAGAUUGCGGGAGAGGUAAGUGGAAUUCCUAGUGUAGCGGUGAAAUGCGUAGAUAUUAGGAAGAACACCAGUGGCGAAGGCGGCUUACUGGACUGUAAAUGACGCUGAGGCUCGAAAGCGUGGGGAGCAAACAGGAUUAGAUACCCGGGUAGUC
rnacentral:rRNA from 1 species